CGACGGUGGCGGUCCUGGUGUGGCGGCGGCCGGUGGCCGCCGGGACUGAUCGUCAGGCCGCGACGGGUUCGAGAGUCCCGCGUCGCCGGC
rnacentral:tRNA from 1 species